rnacentral:rRNA from 1 species
UUUUGUAGCAACAGCAGCCAGCUGACCUUGAAAAACUAAGUCAGGUUGAGUCUGGUUAGUACUUGAAUGGGAGACAACCUGGCAGUAUGAGAUGCCACAGAGA